rnacentral:piRNA from 1 species
UAUUAAAACCGGGCUGUCGCGAAAGCAU